AGUCCCUGUGCGCCUGUGUGGCGUGUGAACGUGUGUGUGUGCGUGUGCGCUCCGCCCGGCCCCGGCAGGCUGCCGAGCCGCAGCGGCGGAGGCGGCGGCAGCAGCCGCGGAGGUGGCGGCGAACCGGAUGCCUUUGGCGGGCAGAAGAUGUGUCAUGGGAAGCAGCCGAGCGGCGGCGGUGCCCUCCUGGCGGCGCGGCGGCGGGCGCUGGCCACGGCGCUGUGGCUGCAGUUGGCGCUGAGGCUCGGCCCGGGGCUGGCGGCGGGCGGGUUUGAUGACCUGCAAGCAUGUGCUGAUCCUGGGGCUCCUGAACAUGGCUACAAGACGCCCAGUGCAGGUGUUUUCUUUGAAAGUGUGGUGGUCCGGUUCCAUUGCCAAGAAGGAUAUAGGCUCAAUGGUACUUCCAAAAAACUUUGUGUGAGACACUUUAAUGGCUCCCUGAGCUGGAAACCCAGUGAUAAACCUGUGUGCCUACAAGAAGUCACAGAUUGCCUUGUUCCACAUGUUGAAGAUGCAGAGGUUCAUAACAAGACAUACAGGACUGGCGAUAAGUUAAUAAUCAGCUGUCAUGAAGGAUUCCAGAUACGUUACCCUGACUUAGACAACAUGGUUUCCAUAUGCCAAGAUGAUGGAACAUGGGAUAAUCUACCCAUAUGUCAAGGUUGCCUGAGGCCGUUGGUUCUUCCUCAUAGUUACAUUAACAUUUCUGAGUUCGGGGCCUCCUUCCCUGUAGGAACAGUGGUGUAUUAUCAGUGCUUUCCUGGAUAUAAACUAGAAGGGGCAGAGAUCCUUGAGUGCAUGUAUAACCUUAUCUGGUCAGAUAGCCCACCUAGGUGCCUUGAUGUGGAAGUUUGUCCACUACCUCCAAUGGUGAGUCACGGAGACUACAUCUGCCACCCACGGCCUUGCGAACACUACAACCACGGGACAGUGGUGGAGUUCUACUGUGACCCUGGUUACACCCUCGCCAAUGACUACAAGUACAUCACUUGCCAGUAUGGAGAGUGGUUCCCCUCCUACCAAGUAUACUGUGUCAAAACAGAACAAACGUGGCCAAAUACACAGGAGACCCUCCUGACUACAUGGAAAAUAGUGGCGUUUACUGCUACCAGUGUUUUAUUAGUACUGCUACUGGUUAUUUUAGCCAGGAUGUUCCAGACCAAAUUUAAGACACAUUUCCUUCCACGAGGCAACCAGGAGGGCUCCAUGGGCGACCCCGACUUUGUGGUGGUGGAUGGUGUUCCUGUCAUGCUGCCUUCCUACGAUGAAGCUGUCAGCAGUGGCUUGAAUGCCCUGGCACCCGGAUACUCAGCUGCUGCAGACCAGGGGCAUAUUUUGCAGACAGAAAAUCAAAAUCCCCCUGCUUACCCCGGUCCCAGGAUUCCAGACAUGCAGCCCAGUGAAUGUGAGACCUGUGACAGUAGGUUGGGUUCCUCUGAACUGCUCCAAAGUUUGUACCCAUCCCUGACAUGCCAAACGGCAGCACUUCCCAGCUCAGAUCGAACUGAUGUAUCCCACAGCACUGAUGGGGAUGCUGUAUCCACAAGUCCCCGGAUCGAUAUCACAGAUGGUGAGUCUUGCAUAGGUGCAAUAGAGCUUGAAUUCUCACGAGACGACUACCUGCCUCUGGAUCCACACCUGUGUCCCCACCCACAAGGUGACACCCUGGGCUGGGGGGUACCCCCAGCUUUCCCAGCAACCUGGACACCCUGGAGAACUGCACAGCUCCCUGGCCUAAGACCUCAGGAUGUUUUCAGGACCUCAAGAGACAAGAGGGCUGCUAUGACCAGGGCAGGAUGUUCACUGUGUAAAUGAGACCAGAUGGGAGGAUAAGCACAUCUUAUGCAGAUCAUAAGCUGUUUUCCCUUGAGCUAACUGGAUGUGAAUUAAAACAGAUCCAGGAAACCUCUUAUUGGUGAGGGGUUAGUGAAGAUGGAACCCAUGUGCCUUCAGCAGAGAGAAAAUUGUUGUGUACUGAGAACUUCAGGAAAUAAAAACAAGAACUGGCUUCACCCUGCCAAUAUUUCUAAAAAUGAGAAAAGAGGAGCAGAAGUGAGCAGUGUGUCAGCCUUGAACAGUGACUUACAAACAGGGACUUGACCUGCAAAGUGCUGGGUGAAGGGUGGGGUUCCAAGGUCUCACAGGAGCCCUGCAGGUAGUGAAUCACAACCUGAGCAUGAGUCAACAGAAUCUGGCUGUUGUGAAAAUGUUGAAUGUCAACACAGUGUUUACACAGAACUGUAACUUAUAAAGUGCAUGAAGCAAUCAUUCAGCUGCACUCAGCACUAGUAAGGCCUCAGAUAGACCAGUGUGUCAAAUGUUGAGCAAUUUGCUUCCUCUUCAAGGGAAAUGUGGUGCAGCUGGACAGCAGCCAAGCAGAGAGAAUCAAGCAGAGAGAAUUGGAAGAACCUGUCCCGUCCUCACAGAUUAUGUGGUAUUCAGUGUGAACAUUAGGAGACCAAAGACAACACAGAAAUUAAGUUUUCUGGUGAAGAGAGGUUGGACCUCAAAAGGAAAGUGAACUGAGGCUUUGAUUAGAAGAGCCACAGAAAAAGAAAUGAAGAAUGAUUGUGGAGAGCCAUAAGUAUAUGUUGAAAACUUACAGGGAAACUGCUGCCAAGCAGGUUGUGAUACAUUUUAAAUUCCAGAUAUAGACAGACUUGCAUGUGCACAUGCAAAACACACUUGUUUCUAUAUAACUUUUAAAAGGUAGGAAAUGCAAGAAACCCUCAAAAGCACAAAUUUGUGAUAAGUGGCAAAUGUUCUACUUGAGCAACUGCUUUACCCCUUGGCAUGAUCAUAGAGAAUUGAUUCUGCUCUCUUAAAAACAACAGCUGUUCACUGCUGAAGGCUAUUUCAGCUCAAUCAGUACUGGUGCACUGGCCACAAAAGCCAGAAACAAAGGUGACCAGGCACCAAAUUCUCUCAAAUGUACAAAGAAAACAAUAUCAGAAAUGGGUGGUGUUACUGAAAAUAGCAAGCAUGGUCUUUUCAGGAAAAUAGGAUUUGUGAGGUAAAGGUUGCUUGGCAGUGAGUCAGAGGAGCUUCUCCUUGGCAUCUGCAGCAUCUGUCUUUUCUUUAGGCAGUGACAUUUCAUGGCAGGAACAGGUGUAGAUAAGAGUAGUGUUUUAGGGCUUGUGCUGAUAGCACAAAAUGAGCAGAAACAUCAGAACAGGCAGGAAAAAAAUACAGAAAAAGGCCAUACAAAAAUGAAACACAUUUCAUGCCUGAAAGGCUGGACUUUCAAGUGUGGAUGAAGCCACAAGUGAUGUGGCAUACCGCUCCAAGCAUUUUCUCCAGUUACUUCUGGCUGGCAUAAGAUCAGGAGUGCAAAGCACCACUUAGUGCUGAAUUUGGCUAAACUGAACACUGGGUGAGGUGGAAGGAACUGCAGAACAAAUUCUUUAUUAUUCUAUUCUGUAUUCACCCCAUCAGUGUGAUUCCCUGCUGUGAGGCAGGAGCUGGAGUGGAAAGGCAUCUCUCCAGAGAGGGCUAUAGUGGCCAUUAGGAAGCAUGGCCUCCGGCACAGUUCUCUGGUGGGUGGGUCCUGCUUGCCUGCACCACUCUGGGGCCCCUUCUGCCCUGGACGUAGGAGCCAGAGGCAGCAGCAGCAGAAAGGCUGCCACCCAGCUUGGGAGUUCAUGUGGUCACCCAGCAGUCCUCCCUCUAGAACAGAAGAUUACUUCUACCUGCUUCUUGGUAUUAAGUAUUCUAGUACUAAGACUUCAGGUUCUUUUUUUAAUGCCUGCAGGAAUCUUUCCAUGUGAAAAAAAAAAAAAAAAAGGAUUUUUUCUCUAGGAUGUCAUAUGCUCUGCUACUAAACAACUCUGGAGAUCUUUAAAAGAAUAACAUUCUGGGAGUACAAGAAGUGACGUGCCUGUUUUACGCUCUCCUCAUCCACUGUGUUUUUAAGUGGCACAACAUGACAUGUCACAAUUCAUGUGUCAUUUUUACACUUGGAGAAGUAGCCAGCAUGGACCAAUUCAGCCAUCCUGGCUGAGUAUGCUGUUAUUGACUGACACAUCUCGAGUGCCACAGGAGCCACAAGUAUACAAGGCUGUUGUGGAGGUGCUGACUUUUAAAUCCCAGCUGCAUGCACAACCCUGGCAUAUUGUCAGCAUGUACAGUUUUCAGUUUCGUGGGACAUUUCUUCUGGUGUUACCAGGGGAUUUUGUUUUACCUUCAUCUCUUCUUUCUUUUAACACUGCAGAAACUCAUGUCUUGAGGCUCUGUCCUGUCUUUCUCAACAUCACGUGCACUAUAUGAUUCCAUGGAAAAACCUGAGCUUGCACACAUACUUCACGCGUACACUCACAUCCCAAGGCAAGACUACUGAAUAACAUGAAAGCUGUCACAGGUCAUUUUGCUACAGCCCCAGUGUUUGAAAGGUAUUUUAGGUUAGAGUAAAACCAGAUUUCAGCUCCACUCAGCCCUUUUUUUGCAGGAUACAGGGAACAGCUGGCUGGUGGAUAUUGCCCAAACAAGUCUCCUUCUACUUCUAGUGGCCUUGAGGGGCAACUGCUGCUGCUGCUGCUACUAUUGCUGCUGCUGCUCAGACUGGCUGGCCUGACAGUAGGACCCAAAACAAGGAUUUAUCCUGUACAGCUGUGGAGGUCAGCCAAUCCAGGGCUGUAUUUUAUCCAUAAUAAACUGUAGAAGUACAUUUUUCUCCUACAAUCUACUCAGAUCCAGGAGAGAAACAGAACGAGCUGAACCAGUUCCUCCAUUACUAUCCUUUCCCAUAUUUCUACUUGGGUUUAAGAAUCUAAAGCAGGGUAAGCACAGCUCUGAUGUGGUAUUCACAUAUUCUUUGAACGAAGAGAGAGAAAUAAUUCUCUCUCCCAGGAUUUUUCCUGAGGAAGGCAGUGAGAAAGCUUAGAGAGAGAAGAGAAGAGAAAACAAUUCUUAUCUCUGUUUGCUGCUCCUGUUGUUUGGCACAUGUGGAAUGUGUUAUGGAGAUUGUUUACUGAAAGGGAUUUGUUAAUUGGACUCUGGUGAUGGUUGUUUGGAUUGAUUGACCAAUUAGGAAAAAGCUGUGUUGUGACAGUCUGAAAGGGUCAUGGGUUUUUCUUUGGUAUAGUAUAGUAGUAGUAUAUUAUGGUGUAAUAUAAUAUAGCUUAAUCAAGCAAUUGUUCAGCCUUCUGAAUCAUGGAGUCACUGCAUGUUAUUCUCUGUCUGAGGGUCAUCCUGCACUGAUACUCUGAGGGUUUCUUUUUGACAAGACCUGACCAUGUUAACUUCAACAGAGAAACUUUGGUUUCAGUGUGUGCUAGAAUGAAAAUAUCAUCAUUUUCAAGCUAAAAUGUAAUACAUUGAAUUAUCCUUAUGUUGAGAUGAACAGAGCACUUUAUUCAAUUGAUCAAGCUUUGCUCAGUUAGCCUUUACUGAACUUGCUUUUCUCUUCUUUGCUGAAAUUAACAGUCAUUUUUGUAACUGAAGUCAGUGGUAGCCAAGGCUCUAAAGGCAGAUAAAUGCAAAAACCUGCCUCUCCAAAGUCUUUAGUCUCACUAAGAAAAAAAGCUCACAGAAGGAGACUGAGAUCAAAAUCAAUGCUACCUAGCCCGGGAAAAAAUUAAUUUGCAGUUCAUCUUAGAUUCUUUUAUAUACAUAAAGUGAGAAUAAUUAGGUUUGUACAUGUAGAAUUUCAUCUUUUCUUAUUCUCUUCAUUAUGUGGACAAACUGUUGAAUUCACUGCUUUGAUAAAAAUCUUUCCAGAACACUAAUUAUUCCCAAAAUACUGGUUUUUUCCCUGACCCUUUUUUUUUUAAGUUAGAGAUUUAUUAAAGAGAUAAUAGAUUUUUCCAAUGUUAGUUGCGAAAUCCAUAUGGGAAAAAAUCAAAUAAUUCUUGGCAUUUAUUAUGAUAAUUUUAACUGGGACUCAUAAGGUAAAGGAACUUCAUGACAUUACCUAUGCAAGAUCUGAGAAUGUGCAUCUCUAGAAAUAAUGACCUUAUUACAGCAUUGAUCUUGUGUGGGUGGAAGCCUGGUGUAGAAGGAGGCUGGGGGAAAUGCUCAUGUAUUUCACCUGCCUAUUGUACAUUACAGGUGAGCUCAGAGGUAUAGUAAGACACACAUUUUUAAGUGUCCUACAUGUAAAAAAAUGGGUAAUAUAAUGCAUUAAUCACUGGAAUGCAAUUACAGGCCUUAAUUUAAAAGGUAUUAGUCACUUGCCAUAGAUAACCUUCUGUGGCUAUUAGAAUUUCAUAGGCUGAGUACAUUACAACUAGCAGAUGUCAUUUGCACAACCAGCACACACAAGGGGCUGGUUUUAGCUGUAAGCGCUUUUUCCCCCCCUGUAUUAAAUCUACCCCAUUAAAUACAAGAGAGAGCACCUGUUUAGGUCUUAUUUCAAUACAAUAAAGACUAUAUCCUGGCUGCAUUUUAAGGGGGCUUUAUAAAGAUCGCAUGCUAUUCAUGUAUUUUAUUAACAUGUUUAAAAUGGGAUGGGAUACACUGGAAAGGUUAUGAGCACAUCAGUAGCUGGUGAUAAACCCUGGCAAUAAACAGCCUAUUAACCUGUUGCAGUCUUUAUCAAAAUGUGAGAUAACUGUAAAACCUGUUACAGCAUUUACUGAUCUUUUAUAAAUGAAGUAUGGUAUUUUCUUGAAAUUAGUAACAUGCUUAAAAUUAGGUCUCUCUGUGCUUAAUUUCAAGAAGCUGAUAAAUCUAGGAGACAGUAAAAUCCUGUAAGCAAUUGUUCCUAAUUUUUGGUUUUUUCCUGUGCAUAUUGGAGAGGAAAUCUUUACCGCUUCCAUCCUAAUCCCUUCUGGUGCCUGCUAGGUGUCUAGCUCACUGUGUGUAUGUGACUUGCAUAAGACAAGGGAGAAGCAAGAAACAUGUCUGUGCUUAACAGAGGCACCUUUGCAGAAAGACAACUUUUGGCUUUGUUUCCAUCAUUUCUUUCAAGUGACAGAACAGCAUGAGAGGACUGUGUCGGUGUGCCUUUUUUCAUCAAAAUAUAACAUGCAGGACAUGCUUAUCUGCAUCAUUUGGAAUUGAAUUACUUCUUGUGAGCUAGAAGGCACUGAAAGGUGUCUGCACAGUGCUACAGAAAGUACAGCUGCAUUAACAAGCAACUUGCCUGUUUCUUUUCUCUCUAAGAGAGAGAACAACCACAGUAGCUGAAUAUUUUGGCAUCUUUAUUAUAGAGUCCUGUGAUUUACACCCAUGAAGCCUGGAGGUUUUUAAAAACUGAAUCAAAAGGAUUCAAUCCAGAAGCAAGUCUACAGUCAUAACAAUGGUGUACAAGCAUUGUUCAGUGGCAAAUCAGCCAAUACACCAACCAAGAAAAAGUUCCAGCUUGGAUUUUCAACUAUAACUUAGUAAGAACUUUUGCAAAGAAACACUUGUGUAAAUUCAUGACCAUUUGUUAGCAGCAGGUGACUGUACAAUAAGCAGCAGCGGAUACAUUUCUUCCAUGCUGAAAUGUACAUUGUGUAUGAAACAAAAAAGUUCUUAAAAACUAUAGCCAUGAAAAGAUAACAAUCCUGCUUACCUGCUGCUUCAGCCACUUCUGAAGUUUACACAAACUGAGACUGGCUUAGCUAGCACCUAAACUCUCACAGCAUUUCAGACCUUGUUUUAGUAAUGUCAGUACAAAAUACGUCAGCCUUUAAGGUAAAUGGGCAAACAGUUGGAGGCCCAAGGUGACAGGAUCUACAAAACCUGAGAUGUUUCCCACCUGCAACAAUAGGAUUAUAAGUGAAAAGUCUACAUCAGACAGAUGUUUGUGGCCUGUGAACUGGGGGUAAGCAUGGUAAAAUCAUGAUGCUGGUUCUUAAUGUCACAACAUAAAAAGAGGUGCUGUGGUGGUAGAAUCAAUAGAAAAGAGAUUUACUACA